rnacentral:lncRNA from 1 species
CUAUGACUUGAGGGUCCUGUCACUUGAGGGUCCUGUCACGUAGGGGUCCUGUCGACCGGGUGGCGCCCCAAGGGCCGGCCCUCCGCGCCGGCGUCCUUUCGCUGCAGCGGUGGUGCGCGCGCCGCGCUCUCCCCCGUGGCUGGCUCUCGGCUGCAGCGUGGCGGGUGCGCGGAGGCGGCCUGCUGCCCACACUGACCCACGGCUGCUGCGGCGUCGGGGCCCCAUGGCGCGGGGCCUCGGGGACCGAGGGGCACGUCCUCCGGAGGCGGGGCUGGCUCUGGCACUGGCUCUGGCUCUGUCUUGAGCGCUCGGCCUGGAGGGCGGGCUGAGGCGGCGGGCGGCGUCAACGCGGUCGGCCGAUGGACAGAGUUUGGAGAGCGCUUCGGGGCAGGACCUCUGGAAGUGGCCCCAAAGCAUACGCACGUCUGGCUCCCGUCGCAGAAGGGCUCUUAACCAGGACACGAUGACUGUGCUAGUGAUCCACUGUCUCCUGCCUGUGACGGUGCUGGUGAUCUACUGUCACCUGCCUAUGACGGUGCUGGAUUAUACAGCCUGGGUGGCAGGUCUGAUUACAGUGGAAGCCUGCGAUAAUGAAGGAGCCAGCUACUUCUCUAGGACUAGACGAUUGUUCUGGGUUUGGACUGCUUUCCCCAACUUACGGAUCUUUCAUCCAGUCCAUCUGUGGACCUACUGAAUACCUUAUACUCCACACAGCUUAUACAGCAUCCCAGACGACAUUGCUUCUCACCCAGGAACUCACUUUCCCGUGAAAGAGGUAAAGAAGGGUACUGAUGCCAUCGCAGCAGAAGCAACUGGGUUUACAGAAUAAUGGACAGCCCUAUUGAAGGCUGCCUUCUGGAACCAGAUGAGACACACACUUUGGGAUGCUGUCGUAAAGGAUUCGGCAUAUGCUCCAAAUGAGUUAACAGUAUUUAGUGAUAUCUCUUUUGUUGACACAGUGACAAAGUCCAAGAGUAGAGGGAUUGACGCUAUGCUGUUGCAUCUGACUCAGUGCCCGUAUAUUUUGCUUUCCACUGUGGGGAGAGACUCUGCCGUGGGUCCUGAGCACCCUGCAUAUUAUUGCCGAGCAUGCCAGCUGCGAGGCUUAUCCAUCUCCUGACACAACAGUUUCCGAAGCUAGUAACACAGGCACCUACGUGGGUCCAGGCGGCCAGAGCAUUACUACCAUUUCACUGCCGCUGCCCUAGGGGAGAGACUGGCUUGUUUGCUACUUGCUCAACAACUGCGUGGCCCUGGAUUCUCCUCCUGCGCUCAACCCGAUGUGUGUAUGGGUGUCAUCUGGCCCACCACAGCCCUGUGGAAACUGGGGCUCCAGGAACCGGUGCAAACAUGCGACGCUUGGGCUACUGCUUUGCUGUAAUAAAAAGAUUUUUGUGUCUUACCCAGGAGUCUCCGGUCUCUUGCCAGCAUCCACGACACUGCAGCAAGCAAGCUGCAAGUAGGAUAAAAUCUCAGACCCUUCACUGCUCUUGCCGUCCAUCUGCACAACUCCAGGUUCUGUUGGUAUACCAAUUUUUGUACCCAGAGUGUGCAAGGGGAUACAAUGUUUCCUCUGUACUGGAAGCUGGAAUUGCCUCCUGCUCAUUUUUAGCUCCUUCCCCUAGGUGAGGAGUUAGAAAAGUGGUUAUGGUGCAGCUGGAGUGACUGGCCCUGAUGACCAUGGGGAAAAAGGAGUAGGGAGAGGAGUCUGACAGGGGCAUCUCAUCUCCUGGAAUACCUCCUCGAAAUAACAUGUUGAGUUGUACAAAUUAAGCAGACUCUUGCAACCAUACGGAGGCAAGAUGGACUACAGCAGACCUCUGAUAUGUUUUGUAUUUGGUGCUCAGUCAUCAAACCCGUUUCAUAUGUUUGGUGAAUCUUGGUAGGAGAAAUGUUCCCAUCUUCUACUGUGGAAGCUAAGGUCACAUAUCCUUGCUGUCUUUGAUGCUUGACAGCCCAAGUGCUGGCGCAAGACGAAAUAAGCUUGGUCAGUUGGACAUUCCCACCAGUCUCUGAAUCUGGAACUAGUGAUGCAAACAAGCAGGGUGUUUGGAAUCCGGUUUUCAGAGGCCUCACCGCCCACAGAAGUAAACAAACUCGCAGCUCUCCCUGAGGCUGGAAGUUGGCUACGGUUUUGGUCAUCUAGCUUCCUUUGGUUUCUGUUUUCCAAAGCUGGUUCUCCAGCCUUUCCAUCAAUUCUGUGAGCGAUAUAUCUAAUAUUCUUCCAAUAAACUGUUUUCCU